rnacentral:rRNA from 1 species
AGCGCAGGUGGUUUAUUAAGUCUGGUGUAAAAGGCAGUGGCUCAACCAUUGUAUGCAUUGGAAACUGGUAGACUUGAGUGCAGGAGAGGAGAGUGGAAUUCCAUGUGUAGCGGUGAAAUGCGUAGAUAUAUGGAGGAACACCGGUGCGAAAGCGGCUCUCUGGCCUGUAACUGACACUGAGGCUCGAAAGCGUGGGAGCAAACA